rnacentral:rRNA from 1 species
AACUAAGCGGAGGAAAAGAAACUAACAAGGAUUCCCUCAGUAACGGCGAGUGAAGCGGGAAGAGCUCAAGCUUAAAAUCUCCACAUUUGUGGCGAAUUGUAGUCUAUUGAGGCUGUUGUCAGCACAGCGACUUGGGACAAGUCCCUUGGAAGAGGGCAGCAUGGAGGGUGAUACUCCCGUCUCUGCUCAAGUUGUCUGUGUGUACGAUACGCUUUCUUUGAGUCGAGUUGUUUGGGAAUACAGCUCAAAGUAGGUGGUAAAUUCCAUCUAAAGCUAAAUAUUGGUGCGAGACCGAUAGCGAACAAGUACCGUGAGGGAAAGAUGAAAAGAACUUUGAAAAGAGAGUUAAAGAGUACCUGAAACUGUUGAAAGGGAACCGUAUCGUUUCUAGUGUUUAUCCUAUGCAUAUUUCAUUGGCGGUUGCAAAAUUGCUGGUGCCCUGUGCAUGGGUGUGACGUCAGAGUCAGUUUAAAUUGCGGGAGAUGGGUAGGGAGGAGGUGCGUCACUUCGGUGAAAGUUACAGCUCUCUGCUUAGUAGCCGUGGUUAAGACUGAGGUGCCUACAACAUGCUUUGGGGUCUGCUGUUGUCUCGUUUUAGUGAUUGUCUGGAUAGCUUGCUAUGCUGGUGAUUAGUGAGGCGAUUGAUAAUAGUAGUAACCUCUGCUGUUCGGGACUCUGGCGAAAUGGAGCGAUACGACCCGUCUUGAAACACGGACCAAGGAGUCUAACAUGUGUGCAAGUAUUAGGGUGUGGAAACCCAAAUGCGCAAUGAAAGUAAAGGACACAUUAGUGUCUGUGGUAGGAAGGAGCUGUAAUGGUUCUGGCACUAUCGACCGAUCAUGAACCUCCGGGUGAAAGAUUUGAGUAUGAGCAUAUAUGUUGGUACCCGAAAGAUGGUGAACUAUGCCUGAAUAGGGUGAAGCCAGGGGAAACUCUGGUGGAAGCUCGUAGCGAUUCUGACGUGCAAAUCGAUCGUCAAAUUUAGGUAUAGGGGCGAAAGACUAAUCGAACCAUCUAGUAGCUGGUUCCCU